rnacentral:rRNA from 1 species
UUCGUAGGUGAACCUGCGGAAGGAUCAUUAAUGAAUUUAUAAUCCGGCGAGACGAAGGACGAGGACUGUCGCUGGCCUUUCAUCGAGGCAUGUGCACGCUCUCUUCUGGACUUUUCGCCGUAUGGGCGCGGGGCGACCCGCGUCUUCAUAUACCUCUUCGUGUAGAAAGUCUAUGAAUGUUUUUACAAUCAUCGAGUCGUGACUUCUAGGAGACGCGAUUCUUUGAGACAAAAGUUAUCACAACUUUCAGCAAUGGAUCUCUUGGCUCUCGCAUCGAUGAAGAACGCAGCGAAUCGCGAUAUGUAAUGUGAAUUGCAGAUCUACAGUGAAUCAUCGAAUCUUUGAACGCACCUUGCGCUCCUCGGUGUUCCGAGGAGCAUGCCUGUUUGAGCGUCAGUAAAUUCUCAACCCCUCUCGAUUUGCUUCGAGUGGGGCUUGGAUAGUGGGGGCUGCCGGAGACCCAGAAUUCAUUCUGGGACUUGGGCUCCUCUGAAAUGCAUCGGCUUGCGGUCGACUUUCGACUUUGCGCGACAAAGCUUUCGGCGUGAUAAUGAUCGCCGUUCGCUGAAGCGCAUGAAUGAAUGGUCCCGUGCCUCUAAUCAGUCGACGCCUUCUGGGCGUCUUCCUUAUAGACGUUUGACCUCAAAUCAGGUAGGACUACCCGCUGAACUUAAGCAUAUCAAUAAGCGGAGGA